AAUAAACGCAGUUGUGAGUUUCAGUGUCGAACUUUGACCAUCUGUCCUAUUUGAAAUAUUUUUAUGAUUAAUAUCUUUAUUGUUAUUAGAUGAUAAAAUAAGAAUAGUAUUUUAUUAGAUGAUAAGAUGGGCGAUCAAACGUUAGACACGAAAAUUUAUGGCUGCACUUAUA
rfam:Oryza glumipatula chromosome 5, whole genome shotgun sequence.